rnacentral:lncRNA from 1 species
GAAGGCUGUUGGAAUUGUCAGUUGGCUGUGUCUUUCCUAUGUCUCACACUUAUCUUAUUGCUUGACUCUAUAAGUAAUUGAACUUCCUGCUAUAUGUCUUCACACAUAUAGUAACGUAUCUCGCUGCACAACUCUGAUGAAACUCUUUAUUUAAUUUGCUUAUGCCUGUAAUAUCCCAUAAGGGAAAAUACCUUGCAAAUCCUUGCUAAGUCUACAAUUGCUUAUUUAUGUU